ACUUAAAUUGAAGAGUUUGAUCAUGGCUCAGAUUGAACGCUGGCGGCAGGCCUAACACAUGCAAGUCGAGCGGUAGCACAGAGAGCUUGCUCUCGGGUGACGAGCGGCGGACGGGUGAGUAAUGUCUGGGAAACUGCCUGAUGGAGGGGGAUAACUACUGGAAACGGUAGCUAAUACCGCAUAAUGUCGCAAGACCAAAGUGGGGGACCUUCGGGCCUCAUGCCAUCAGAUGUGCCCAGAUGGGAUUAGCUAGUAGGUGGGGUAACGGCUCACCUAGGCGACGAUCCCUAGCUGGUCUGAGAGGAUGACCAGCCACACUGGAACUGAGACACGGUCCAGACUCCUACGGGAGGCAGCAGUGGGGAAUAUUGCACAAUGGGCGCAAGCCUGAUGCAGCCAUGCCGCGUGUGUGAAGAAGGCCUUCGGGUUGUAAAGCACUUUCAGCGGGGAGGAAGGCGAUAAGGUUAAUAACCUUGUCGAUUGACGUUACCCGCAGAAGAAGCACCGGCUAACUCCGUGCCAGCAGCCGCGGUAAUACGGAGGGUGCAAGCGUUAAUCGGAAUUACUGGGCGUAAAGCGCACGCAGGCGGUCUGUCAAGUCGGAUGUGAAAUCCCCGGGCUUAACCUGGGAACUGCAUUCGAAACUGGCAGGCUAGAGUCUUGUAGAGGGGGGUAGAAUUCCAGGUGUAGCGGUGAAAUGCGUAGAGAUCUGGAGGAAUACCGGUGGCGAAGGCGGCCCCCUGGACAAAGACUGACGCUCAGGUGCGAAAGCGUGGGGAGCAAACAGGAUUAGAUACCCUGGUAGUCCACGCCGUAAACGAUGUCGAUUUGGAGGUUGUGCCCUUGAGGCGUGGCUUCCGGAGCUAACGCGUUAAAUCGACCGCCUGGGGAGUACGGCCGCAAGGUUAAAACUCAAAUGAAUUGACGGGGGCCCGCACAAGCGGUGGAGCAUGUGGUUUAAUUCGAUGCAACGCGAAGAACCUUACCUGGUCUUGACAUCCACAGAACUUUCCAGAGAUGGAUUGGUGCCUUCGGGAACUGUGAGACAGGUGCUGCAUGGCUGUCGUCAGCUCGUGUUGUGAAAUGUUGGGUUAAGUCCCGCAACGAGCGCAACCCUUAUCCUUUGUUGCCAGCGGUUCGGCCGGGAACUCAAAGGAGACUGCCAGUGAUAAACUGGAGGAAGGUGGGGAUGACGUCAAGUCAUCAUGGCCCUUACGACCAGGGCUACACACGUGCUACAAUGGCAUAUACAAAGAGAAGCGACCUCGCGAGAGCAAGCGGACCUCAUAAAGUAUGUCGUAGUCCGGAUUGGAGUCUGCAACUCGACUCCAUGAAGUCGGAAUCGCUAGUAAUCGUAGAUCAGAAUGCUACGGUGAAUACGUUCCCGGGCCUUGUACACACCGCCCGUCACACCAUGGGAGUGGGUUGCAAAAGAAGUAGGUAGCUUAACCUUCGGGAGGGCGCUUACCACUUUGUGAUUCAUGACUGGGGUGAAGUCGUAACAAGGUAACCGUAGGGGAACCUGCGGUUGGAUCACCUCCUUACCUUAAAGAA
rnacentral:rRNA from 1 species